UUCUAAUAGUAAUUAUUAUUAGUAAAAUCUGCUCAAUGAAUUUAAAUAGCCGCAGAAUUUUUACUGUGCUAAGGUAGCAUAAUCAUUUGUCUUUUAAAUAAAGACUAGAAUGAAAGAUUUUACAAUUAAAUAAUUGUUAUAUAAUUUAUUUUUAUAAAUUAUACUAAAUAUAAAAAUAUAUUUAUACAUAAAUAAGACGACAAGACCCUAUUGAACUUAACUAUUGUUAAGCUGGGGAAGCUUAUUAAUAAAAAAUUUAAUUAUUAAUUAUUUAUAAAUUUCUAUAUAAAUAAAUAACAAGUUACCAUAGGGAUAACAGCGUAAUAUAUUUUUAAAGAUCUUAUUAAAAAAUAAAAUUACGACCUCGAUGUUGAAUUUUAAUUCAAUAAUUAGAAAAAAAAUUAUAAGAAAAUCUGUUCGAUUUUUAAAAAUAAACA
rnacentral:rRNA from 1 species